rnacentral:rRNA from 1 species
CCUACGGGUGGCUGCAGUGGGGAAUAUUGGACAAUGGGCGCAAGCCUGAUCCAGCAAUGCCGCGUGUGUGAAGAAGGCCUGCGGGUUGUAAAGCACUUUAAGCAGGAAAGAAGGGGUGAAAGUUAAUACCUUGCAUCAUUGACGUUACCUGCAGAAUACGCACCGGCUAACUCCGUGCCAGCAGCCGCGGUAAUACGGAUGGUGCGUACGGGAAGCGGAGUUACUGGGGGCGAUUUGCGCAGAGGGUGGUGAAAGCCCUGGGCUUAACCUGGGAACUGCGGUGGAUACUGUCGGGCUAGAGUGUGGUAGAGGGGAGUGGAAUUUCCGGUGUAGCAGUGAAAUGCGUAGAGAUCGGAAGGAACACCAGUGGCGAAGGCGGCUCCCUGGACUAACACUGACGCUGAGGUGCGAAAGCGUGGGGAGCAAACAGGAUUAGAUACCCGAGUAGUC